GAUGAACGCGGGCGGCGUGCUUAACACAUGCAAGUCGAACGAUGAAGCCCAGCUUGCUGGGUGGAUUAGUGGCGAACGGGUGAGUAACACGUGAGUAACCUGCCCUUAACUCUGGGAUAAGCCUGGGAAACUGGGUCUAAUACCGGAUAGGAGCGUCCACCGCAUGGUGGGUGUUGGAAAGAUUUAUCGGUUUUGGAUGGACUCGCGGCCUAUCAGCUUGUUGGUGAGGUAAUGGCUCACCAAGGCGACGACGGGUAGCCGGCCUGAGAGGGUGACCGGCCACACUGGGACUGAGACACGGCCCAGACUCCUACGGGAGGCAGCAGUGGGGAAUAUUGCACAAUGGGCGCAAGCCUGAUGCAGCGACGCCGCGUGAGGGAUGACGGCCUUCGGGUUGUAAACCUCUUUCAGUAGGGAAGAAGCGAAAGUGACGGUACCUGCAGAAGAAGCACCGGCUAACUACGUGCCAGCAGCCGCGGUAAUACGUAGGGUGCGAGCGUUAUCCGGAAUUAUUGGGCGUAAAGAGCUCGUAGGCGGUUUGUCGCAUCUGUCGUGAAAGUCCGGGGCUUAACCCCGGAUCUGCGGUGGGUACGGGCAGACUAGAGUGCAGUAGGGGAGACUGGAAUUCCUGGU
rnacentral:rRNA from 1 species